rnacentral:rRNA from 1 species
AGAGUGAACGCUGGCGGUAGGCCUAACACAUGCAAGUCGAACGGCAGCACAGUAGGAGCUUGCUCUUACGGGUGGCGAGUGGCGGACGGGUGAGGAAUACAUCGGAAUCUACCUUUUGGUGGGGGAUAACGUAGGGAAACUUACGCUAAUACCGCAUACGCCCUUCGGGGGAAAGCCGGGGACCAGGCAAUGGCCUGGUGCUGAUAGAUGAGCCGAUGUCGGAUUAGCUAGUUGGUG